UACGAAGGGGGCUAGCGUUGCUCGGAAUCACUGGGCGUAAAGGGCGCGUAGGCGGAUCUUUAAGUCGGGGGUGAAAGCCCAGGGCUCAACCCUGGAAUUGCCUUCGAUACUGAAGAUCUCGAGACCGGAAGAGGUAAGUGGAACUGCGAGUGUAGAGGUGAAAUUCGUAGAUAUUCGCAAGAACACCAGUGGCGAAGGCGGCUUACUGGUCCGGUUCUGACGCUGAGGCGCGAAAGCGUGGGGAGCAAACAGGAUUAGAAACCCCCGUAGUCC
rnacentral:rRNA from 1 species